UAAGCCUUUCCUCUGUAGUCUGCAUAAUUGUUUAAUAAACCGUUCUCUCCGGGACUUGAAACCUGGAUUUCUUGUAAUCUGCAAUAAAUUGCAUAGUCUGGGAUUCGAACCCCAGACCUGGGUGUAGAAGCCUUUAAACCUUAACCAAUAGGCUACGGUGCUUCCACCUUGAGUUUUUUUUUACAAAACUAUUUUAUUACUUAAAUUAAGUGUGGUAAAGAAAGCCAAACCGGAAUAAAACAUUGGCAAACAAAAAAAAAACUUUUGAGACAUGUAUUCUUAUCUAAUGAAUCCACAGUCAUGUUUUGCGCUUGAUGUUGAUAAACAAUCUUAAAAUAUCUCUUAACAUUUUUAACCCUUUUAGUUCUUUUGAACAACUUGAUCAUGUCAUUGGUUCUUGAAUCAUUGAAAUCAGACUCUUACAGCCCAUUCCAAAAUAAUGAUAGCUUGAGUAGUCUUCAAAAAAAGUGCGUCCAGUUCCGUAUGCAGAGAAGGCACAUGCUUAAUUUGGUUCCUUAUUCCUAUAAGUUGGUUUCAACCGGAUAAUCUCUUUUAACUCAUCCACAUCCACUGAAUAUACGAUUUCUUUUAGUUGCUUCACUAGAUAGCUUAUGAUUCAUCCACCAUGCAAAUGUUUUGUAAGCUUACAACUUGAGCAGUCACUGGAUGAAGCAUUGUUUGCCUUUUCGGUAUGUCUGUUGUAUUUUCUUCAAACCACACUUGAUAUUCACCUUUGACGUGUCUUAUUAACGUUAAAAAAUCGUUUAUGAUUACUCUAAAUAAUUUAUCGUUUUGAGUUUUUAAAAAUACCAGAUUAUCAUAGAGAAGGAUUUAUACCUAACUGCAUAUCUUCAAUAUCGUCCGAGUUGGUAUAAACACUGAAAUCUGAAAAAAAUUGUGGCUAUACUUGUAAAUAGACUCUAAAAGACUAAGUGAGUGUAUGAUCGUGACUAUAGUAAACUUGUGGUCUUGCUUGAAUUCACUUAGUCUUUGGAUGCUAUGAACUAUUCUAAAUUGCUUGCUUCUUCUGAUUCAUAGUACUGCUAGCUUAAACCAAGUAACGGUUACCUUUUUUUAUUUGUUUGGGUCAGUCUAUGUGUUUAGAGCAUUGCUACUUGUUAUGGCAUGACUGGAUUGUGAAGUGGCUCAAUAGCUUGUGAACAGUUAAGUUGGCUAAACAGUUAUUGAUAAGCAUAACUAACUGAUUGAAUUUUUUAUCUUAGUGUGAUUCAUAUAUUGUAGUGAAACGAGACAAUCAUUCUCAUUAAACAAAUUUGUUGCGUAUAUCUUUUUUUUUAUUGGUGCAUGGAAGGAUCAAACUCGUCAGGGUAAAGAUAUUACUUGAUUAAAGAACUAAAACAUAAAGGACGAUAGAUUUAGAUACAGACAUGUCAAGUAGUACAUGUAAUAGGUUAUGUUUUUUUUUUGAUAAACCCUAUCGGCUGAUCCGGUCGGCCCCGGAAGGAACACACUUAGUGCUAUAUAAUGGACUAGCCCAAAAGCGUACCAUACUGCCUGAUCCGAGUUUGAAAUAUCUUCUGACUAAUGCCACGGGAUGGACCAAUCAUCUGUUAUGGCCUACCAUGUAAACCACUUGGACCGAAUCCCAAGCAUAAACUGGUCAAGUAGUGAUAAUUUAGUUUUCAGAGGGAAUCGAAUCCAUAACUGAUGUAGGUACACACCAAGCUCCAAGAGAUUGCCACAAGUGGUGUUUAGAAAUAGACAAAUUCAGAUAGAUUUACUAAAUUGCUUGCCUCUUCUGAUUGCCACAACCCCUCUCGACAAGACCAGAGAUAGAGAAUUAGUAAAUCUUCAAGUGUUUAUAUUGAUAUGUCCUGGAAAAUCAUUGAUACCACAAGUGGUGUUUGAUGCGUAGUACAAUUACAAGACAAAACAACUGAUCUACCUGCCCUUCAGGACAGCCAUUGAGUAAAAAAAAUAAAAGAUAGGAUUGUAGUUCAACAAAGCAACACCAGCUCUAAUAUCGAAGUAGUUAACAACAUAUAAAGAACAUUACUGACAACAAUCACAACAUCAAAGAUUCCUCCCAUCAUCCACUAUACA